rnacentral:lncRNA from 1 species
CUAGAAUGUCAAAUUGACCUUUGACCUUGACCUCAAUUUCAAGGUCAUAGGUCAGGGAUCUCAAAUCAAAAGACCCCAGGUCAAUCAUUUGUAUGGUUGUGGAGAAAUACUGAUUUCAAAUACAUAAGGGGAGAAAACUCCUAUAAGGGUUAACCAAAACACUUCGACUAAAUAGAUUGAAGUUGCGCCUUUUUGUAAACAGCAAUUUGGCAAACAAAUCAUAUCAUUUACUGUAACAGUUUCUUUUGAAAAACGAUAACAAGCAAAAUUCAAAAUUUAUAACAUGACCUUGACCUUUGACCUUGAUCUCAAUUUCAAGGUCAUAGGUCAGUGAACACAAAACGGAAGACCGGAGGUCAAUCACUUGUAUGGUUGUGGAGAAAAACUGAUUUGAAAUACAUAAGGGGAGAAAACUCCUAUAAGGGUUAACCAAAACACUUUGACUGAAAUAGGUUGAAGUUGCGCCUUAUUGUAAACAGUUAUUUAGCAAACACAUCAUAUCAUUUACUGUCACAGUUUCUGUGGUAUAACGAUAACAAGCAAAAUUCAAAAAUUUAAACAUGACCUUGACCUUUGACCUUGACCUCAUUUUCCUUCAAAUGGACCAAGGACUUCAUAUCAAAAGACUGUAGGCCUCUACGACUUAUAACGUAUGAAUUGAUCCAAC